ensembl:snRNA U6 U6 spliceosomal RNA
GUGCUCUUUUCAGCAGUACCAUAUACUAUAAUUGGAAUGAUACAGAAAAGAUUUCCAUGGCCCCGUGGGCAAGGCUGACAUGCACAUUCAUGAAGCCGUCCUUUUUCUU